UGCACAUGCAUGUAAGGCAUAAAUUCCACAAGCUCAAUACUAUUCCCACCAAAAGAAUAGGUUUGAUAAUGUAAUUCUGAAUCUCUGAUACUCCAGGUUGUACGUAUAACUACAUUUUAUGUGCAUUUUUGUUAUGACAAAUGAACAAGCCAAAUUGUUUGAUACUUUUCUACAAAUAUUAUUAUAAAUCUGAGAAAUCCACUAAAAAUUUUAAGCAAUAUUGUGAUGCAAUUGUUUUGUACCAGUGCAGUGAGUCUUGGCUUAUAUAUUAUGUAUUAAGUUUGUACUUUACUGUGCAUUACUUGUAUUGAUUAAAUUUUUCUUCCUGUGAUUUGAACAGAAAUCCAUAAGUUUGCACUGGUUUUCUUACUUUGAUGUUCUUGUGCUGACAUUUAUUGUAAAAGUAUCUACUGUAGUAUAUAUAUCUUAAUUUUUUCCUUUGUAUUUUUUUUUAUUUUGUGCAGACAAAAAAAAUGUGAUAACAUAAGGUUGUAUCUACGCAGUUGGAUAAAAAUCCUAUUAUUCUAAGUGUGUAGGUUAUGUACUUAGAAGUUUCGUCACAUUCUGUUACAUUUACAUUCCAUUCCUUAAAAUUGUUUGUUGUUUCAAACUUUUAUUUAAGAGACUAUUUAUCUAGAGUUACACACUGUAAGUACAAUAUGUACUGUAUUGUGGAGAAUCAAAACAGCCUGCCUCAAUUUUUAUUAGAAUUGAUUUUAUUUCAAGGAGAGUAGCUAUAGCAUUUACAGGGGAGAUAACAAUAUCAAUUUCUUUACGAAAUUUAUAUACAUGUACCUAUUUAAGUCUCAUGGGAUAAAACGAUUAGCUUUUUUGUGCAAUAAAAAGAUUAGAUAUCUGAUUGAGAUUUUAAAUUGUUAAACACAAAUUGCAAUUCUGUUGAUUGGUUUAGUGAUCUUCUCGUUCUUGGUUGUGUUUUUUUACAGAGAGACAUUCCAGUCUAUUUACCUUUUGAGUGCAUUCAAUUAUCAUUAUAAAAGUCAAUGUCUUUUAUUUAAUUUUCAAACCUGCACUCAUCUGAAGUGAGGGAGUUUUAUUUGUAAUGCAAUGUAAAAUGAAAUUGUAAUAAUACAGUACUAGAACCGGUACAUGUAAUUCUACAAACAUUCCAAUUCCUUGUUCUUAUCUUGUAAUGUACAUUUAUACAGUCAAACUUUGUUAUCUCGAACUAGAUGGGAUUGUUUAAAAAAUUCGAGAUAUCGAGGGUAAAAUACUUAAAAAAUUAUUAAUUGGGACUUACUAAUCACUUUGACAUAUUAAUUGUAUUCGAGAUAUCAAAGUUCAACUGUAUUUAUCAUUUAGCACUCCCUCAAAAUGUUACCUCUAAUUUACAACAGGGUCUUUGGUUGUGGAAUUUAAGGAUCUGUAUUUUGUAAUGUUUCUGUCAUUUUUUUUUCUCUAUUGUUAGCAUGUAUUGUUAUUUGUACUUAUUAAAAGAUCUGGAUUUCUAAAA
rnacentral:misc_RNA from 1 species